GACGAACGCUGGCGGCGUGCCUAAUACAUGCAAGUUGAGCGCUGAAGGUUGGUACUUGUACCAACUGGAUGAGCAGCGAACGGGUGAGUAACGCGUGGGGAAUCUGCCUUUGAGCGGGGGGCAACAUUUGGAAACGAAUGCUAAUACCGCAUAAAAACUUUAAACACAAGUUUUAAGUUUGAAAGAUGCAAUUGCAUCACUCAAAGAUGAUCCCGCGUUGUAUUAGCUAGUUGGUGAGGUAAAGGCUCACCAAGGCGAUGAUACAUAGCCGACCUGAGAGGGUGAUCGGCCACAAUGGGACUGGGACACGGCCCAAACUCCUACGGGAGGCAGCAGUAGGGAAUCUUCGGCAAUGGACGAAAGUCUGACCGAGCAACGCCGCGUGAGUGAAGAAGGUUUUCGGAUCGUAAAACUCUGUUGGUAGAGAAGAACGUUGGUGAGAGUGGAAAGCUCAUCAAGUGACGGUAACUACCCAGAAAGGGACGGCUAACUACGUG
rnacentral:rRNA from 1 species